rnacentral:lncRNA from 1 species
AAACAGCAGUGCAUUAAAGGAGAGAGGGAGGGAGGGGCGCAUGAGGAGCACAGAGCAUGAGAGAGCUGAAAAGAGAGGGAGCGAUUUAGCAGAGGAGUGCCACAGCACGGAGGAGAGGGGGGACUCCAGACUGGAUGGGCCCAGCGGUGCCUUGAUGGAGCAUGGGUCAGGUUUUAGGGUUCUCCCACUGCAAGGAUUUUGGAACAGUGAGCUCAACACCUGACUCCACUCCUCCCUGCUCAGAUGGUGGAAAUGAGGAGUCUGACUUCCCAGAACUGCAGACAGCCAGGGAAUGGUCUGACGACGAUGAAGGACUGGAGGAUGAUGACGCAUGUCUCAGCAGCUCUUCCGUAUGGGGCACGCC